rnacentral:sRNA from 1 species
GAAGAGACCACGGUAAAGAUCAGCAGACGGCUUCUGUGGGAACAAAGACAGGGAAAGGGGAAAUGAGUUCACCAGAAACCAACAGGCAGCACAGGAGGUGGUAAACCCGAAAAAGAAAAUGAAGAAAAAGAAAUACGUGAAUUCUGGCACAGACCCAGAUCAACUUCACUGUGGCCAUUGAUUUCACUGCCUCCAAUGGGAACCCCUCACAGUCCACAUCCCUGCACUACAUGAGCCCCUACCAGCUGAACGCCUACGCGCUGGCGCUGACUGCCGUCGGAGAGAUCAUCCAGCACUACGACAGUGACAAGAUGUUCCCUGCCCUGGGCUUCGGGGCCAAGCUGCCCCCGGAUGGCAGAGUGUCCCACGAGUUCCCGCUGAAUGGCAACCAGGAGAACCCCUCAUGCUGCGGCAUCGACGGCAUCCUGGAGGCCUACCACCGCAGCCUGCGCACCGUGCAGCUGUACGGCCCCACCAACUUUGCCCCCGUGGUCACCCACGUGGCCAGGAAUGCAGCGGCCGUGCAGGACGGCUCCCAGUACUCGGUGCUGCUCAUCAUUACUGAUGGGGUCAUCUCGGACAUGGCGCAGACCAAGGAGGCCAUUGUCAACGCUGCCAAGCUCCCCAUGUCCAUCAUUAUCGUCGGCGUGGGCCAGGCAGAGUUCGACGCCAUGGUGGAGCUGGAUGGCGACGACGUGCGGAUCUCCUCCCGGGGGAAGCUGGCUGAACGCGACAUCGUCCAGUUUGUACCCUUCCGGGACUAUGUGGACCGCACAGGCAACCACGUGCUGAGCAUGGCCCGCCUGGCCCGAGACGUGCUGGCAGAGAUCCCUGACCAACUGGUGUCCUACAUGAAG